rnacentral:rRNA from 1 species
GUGAUUUUUUAACGGCCGCAGUAAUUCUGACUGUGCUAAGGUAGCAUAAUCAGUUGGCUUUUAAUUGGAGUCUGGUAUGAAUGGGUUAUAGGGGAAGUUCUAUCUUUUUUAUAUUAUAUAGAAAUUAGUUAGUAGGUGAAAAUACCUACAACGAAAAAAAAGACGAGAAGACCCUUAGAAUUUUUCUUUGUUUUGUUGGGGCAACAUUUAAAUACACAGAAAACUUUAAAUAUAACUAGGCAUAAUUUCUUAGAUCGAUAAAAUUACCUAAGGGAUAACAGCAUAAUCAAUAAAGGUUUGUGACCUCGAUGUUGGACUAGGAGACUUAUUUACUAGCCGUAAAUAAGUUAUGUUCUGUUCGAACAAAUUUCCU